AAAAAAAAAAAAAAAAAAAAAGAUAUGGCAUAUGUUCGACUUAGUUGCUUAUAUGUUUUGAAUACCUUCAAUAUUAGAGAGAAAAGAAGCGAUCUGAGUUAGUGACAAAAUUACUCAUGAGGUCACUUGCUGUGUUCAUCCUUUUUGCUACGAGCUCUGUUAAACGGUAAGAGCAUGAGAGGAGGCAGAGGAGGAGGACAACUUUCCAGUGCUGAGGGAAAUUAGUUUUGCAUGAGUCUCAGGAUUGUUUCCUUCCCCAGACUAAACUGCAGACGAGGAGCUGCUUCUCCCUUUAAUUUACAACCAACUCUGCAAGGCAUAGUUCAAAUGGUUAGGGUUGCACUCUGACCAGAACACACACCAUAGGUAAAUCCUACCUUUGAACAGUUUUAAGACUAGAAAUAUUGAAGUCAGAAUCCGUAUGAAAUUACUGGACAAGUGUGCUAUGUAGAGAGUAAAUAGAUGAUGUCAGGACCUAAGGAUAUUUUGUAAUGUUAGGGGCUUUUUCUCCUUAUGAACACCUUGUCUUUUUCAUGACUGUUUCUUUGGAGGGCAGGCAAGGUGAUUAAGAUAUGCUUGGAUUUAAAAGCAAACUAAAAAAAAAAACAAAAAAAAAAAAAAAAAAAAACCACCAAUCAAAUCUGAGUAGUUUUCUAGUUAAUUAGAUCCCAUUUAGAGUUUAGUGCAGCUGAUUAGCACGCCGUUGAGCCUGGAUCUUAUGCAUUCAAGAAAAUAAUGUAGCAAGAUGUCUCCAGCUGAGAGAUGUAAUUGCAGCAUUCAGCAGUGAUAUUUUUAGAUAUAAAGUAGUCACUGGAAGAAUCACAGUUUCGUAUGUAGAUGAUAUUCAUGGAGUGAGUACGCUUACAUGAGAGCAAGAAGUGUAGCCUUUUGGCCUUGUGCCAUCAAUUGGUAUCUGUAGAUGGUUCCAUCAGUAAAUAAGUGUUGCUGCUGUUAGGGUUUUGUAAGUGUUGUAAAAGCUGUUGAAUGUGGCAAGGAGGGAUGCUUAUGAAUUGCAGUUGAUGCCUCUUUAGGAAAGUAUCAUACCAAAUGUGUAACCUGGAUAUUACAGUGUGGUGGUGUUGCUUAAUAAAACAGACAACAUGAAAAUGCAGCUGUUGGCUACUGCAGUAAAUAAAUGCUAUUGUCCUCAUCAAGAGAGUCCAUCAUAAAUAAGAGCAACCCUCCCAGGCAUACCUAUUUUAAGAUAACAUUUUGGCUAUUUCAAUAAACGAACAACGACUUUCUCCACAGGUUAUGUGCAAUCUGAUUGUGUCCUUUUGAUAUUAAAUUUUGUAGUCUACUCUAAGAAAUAAUUGGUGAUGGGGGGGGAAACAGCUUAAAACAUUUUCUAUUUUCUGAUUUUUAUCUGUAUCGAAGCAACAGCUGUGAAUUUGUAUGAAUAAAUAUAUAUCAGAAAAGAGGCUGAGCCAAAUGACUCACCUAUGUGAUAACUGUAUCCAACAGAAUUAGAUUUUUCUACUCAUUAAAUAGGUGAGAUGAUUGCAAUUUGUUCUUACACAAUUUUGAUUUAAAGCUUUUUUUUUUUUUUAAUAAUUCAUUUAUUGGAAUGAAUUUCCUGUGUUUUUUUCUCAUCAGCUUUUAUAAUGCGAAUUAUGAUAAACUGUGACUUUUCAGGGUAUAUUACAUAGUACUUCGUUUCCUGUCUACGUGCAGGCAUUUGUCAUCCAAAUGUUCAUGUGCAUUUAAUGCAAUAAGUGAAAUCUAUAAGUAUUUGUAAUAGAUUUUCUAUGAAGAAUGGAU